rnacentral:rRNA from 1 species
GGGCUCAAACGUUGCAGGAAGGGUGUCUGAAAGGAUGCCCGUCUACGGACCUGCGACGAGGUGCUGCAUGGUUGUCGUCAGCUCGUGCCGUGAGGUGUCGGCUUAAGUGCCAUAACGAGCGCAACCCCUACCGCCAGUUGCCAACAGGCAAAGCUGGGGACUCUGGCGGGACUGCCGGCGCAAGCUGCGAGGAAGGCGGGGAUGACGUCAAAUCAGCACGGCCCUUACGUCCGGGGCGACACACGUGUUACAAUGGCAGGUACAGCGGGAAGCCACCUGGCGACAGGGAGCGGAACCCGAAAGCCUGUCUCAGUUCGGAUUGGAGUCUGCAACCCGACUCCAUGAAGCUGGAUUCGCUAGUAAUCGCGCAUCAGCCACGGCGCGGUGAAUACGUUCCCGGGCCUUGUACACACCGCCCAUCAAGCCAUGGGAGUCGGGAGUGCCUGAAGUGCGUGAGCGCGAGCAGCGCCCUAGGGCAAAACCGAUGACUGGGGCUAAGUCGUAACAAGGUAACCGU